UUUUUUUUAAUAAUACUUGCAUCCCCCUCUUGCAAAUGAUGUAUCUUGAUUGUACAAAGUUUAUAAUCGAAACCAUUUAAUUUCUUAAUCUUUAUUUGAAGGUCACCUCUACAAAAGUUCAUUUCAUUCGAAUGAUUUAGUCAUUCAAAUCUAUGGAACAAAUUGACGAUUUAGGUACCAAGUAACAUAUUCAUGAUAAACCGUCCAUUUAUGACACACCCCGUCCCGAAGGAAGGCAUGCUGGCCGUCACGUGAGAGUGACGUAACCAUUUACACAGUUCGGAAGCUUGUAAAAUACAAUUACUAAAAUGGAAACCCCCGAGGGUGACUCCUACUUUUGUGAAUUCUGUCAGAACGCCGUUUGGUUCCUCGUGGCCACCAAAGCUCUGCUAACUAGAACCUGGAGGGGCGAAAAACAAAAUUGAGUGGGUCAGUAAAACCAAAGCUUUUCAAAAACAUUUCGCCAAAAAAAUAGUUCUAACCCCUCUCUGUAAAACCUGUAUACUUUUCCCAGAAAAUAACAUAAUAGUAUAUAACAAAAAAAAAUCCUCAUAUCUCAAAUCAUCAAUCUGUAUCAAAAUCCAGAAAUCAUGCCAUGCCAUAAAGUCAAAAUAGAAUAUGGAUGCAUCAAUAUAACAGGUGAAAUAAUAAAUCAACAGAAGACCCUACAAGGGUCCUGUACGGCUGAUUCUAAAGCUCAACAUCCCACUCAGUCGGAGUCACCACAGUGACCUAUAUGGCCCUGCUGAAGUCACCAACUGUGACCUGUACGACACUACACUGCACAUCACUCGGAACUACGUAUAGUAGUCUGUACGAUGAAAGGUGUAUAAAUACGCUCUAGUGCUUCUCUCAUCAAUCAUCAGCGCGCAUAACUAAGGUCACUCACUAGUUGGAAUCACACCUGGUGAUCUAUACAACUAGCAUGUCGGAACCCUCACAUGGUCUGUACGACAUCCACCUACUUGGAUCCAAGGUGAGCGUGCAGUGUGGUGAAUAACAAUAUAAGCACUAACACCUAAGUCCAGGUUAUGAGCUUUCAAUGUAAUUCAUAUAAAAUAACUCAUCUGAAAGAUAAUAAAACUCACCUGUGCGUCCACCGCGUCAAUUCACAUAUAUAUGCAUCAAUUCUCAAUUCAAAUAUCUCAACAUUUGCAUGCAUGGCAAUUUAAAUCAUAAUUUUCAUAUAAACGCAUUUUCUGGGAAAAACAGUUGUAUAUAGGUAAUACGAAAUCAAAACUGCCCACUCACCUGGAGUUCUCCCUACAACUCCCUAGCACAAUACGCCAAGGCGUCAUGACGAUCGGCGCCUAAAACAAUAAUCAAAUCCAACCUCAGAAUUCAUAUCAAUAGAAUAUAUAACUUAUAUAAAAUACGUCACUACGUAGUUCGAUCCGGAAGAUCUGCCACUCAGAUUUUAAAUCCAUAACUUCGAGAGGUCCACAAUAUAUCUCUAGGACCACAUCCUAAAAUUUCAUUACCAUCCAACGGUCGGAUCUCCGUCAAUUUCCAAAACCAAGUGACGGUUAACAUUCUAUUUUAUGAACUUGAACUCCAAUUCCGGAAGAUCCGUAACUCGGAUUCCCAAUCCGUAAGUUCCUAUAAUCCUCAAAUAUUAUGUAUUACAACGUAUCAAAGUUUGGUGACGAUCCAACGGUCGGAUCGUCAAUUCACAUUUUUACCUAUAUGCGAAAUAAUUAUAAAACGUUAUUUAAAGCACCUAACCAACAAUUCUUAAUAACUUCUCAUACGGUGCUCAAAUUGGGGAUAUGAAUAUACCACAGUGAUCUACACAACCUCAGGAUCAUCCCCAAAUUUUUAAAAUAAUUUUUGGACUGUUCACACGCCGACACAUGCACGGCCAGACGCGCCCCCACGCGCGGCCACGUGCACUGCACACUGACGGCGUCAGUUAACGCCGUCAGGUAUAUUCCGAGAAUAUUCCGUUUGUCCUUUAAUAAAACUUAACGGCGUAACUUAACGCCGUUAGAAUAUUCCGUUUAACUUAACGGAAUAUUCCUCUUUCUUCUUCCUUCAGCUCCGGCGACCGUCGCCGUCGCCGGAAACUGGGUAAAUUUUCUAAGUUCGAUUUCUCACUUGAUUUUCAUCCAAUUUCUACGAAAUUUGUACCAAAAGAAAGCUGGAGAGGAGUAGAACAACAUUAUACCUCUUUCAAACUUCAAAACCCACGGGAUCUCGUUGGGAAAAAUCCAAGAAAACCGGCCAACUUCGAAUUUCACGAUCCCAACGUCCAAUUUCUUCCAACGAACCACUCCGAGCCUCCUUGUGACCUCCUUAAACUCCCUAUGAGCUUAGAUUUCCUUAAAACACAACAUUUUACGUUUGCAUGAAUAGUGUUCAAAAUUGGAGUUGUGAUUUCGACGUGAAAUCGAAAGAUUUCUUACCUGAAAUGGGUGUGGUUGAGUUCGUAUAGUCCUCACGAGCACGAUGGUACCCUCACAAUCUUCGAUCCGUGGAGUUUUGGAGUUCUUGGCCCUUGUCCGUACCUUCGAGGGUGAGAGAGAGAGGAAGUUGACGGGGAGGAGAGAGAGACACGGGGGAAAGAGAGAGGGAUGAGGUGUAUGUGUGUGGUCCAACCACAAUCCAAAAUCUAUUUCUUACCACACAAAACACAAACCAAAAUUUAAUCUACAUAAAUAUAAUUUCCAAAAGUUUAUGAAAUGUGUGCAUUUAGUCCAAAAUAUAUCUCACACACACAUACCUUAGUCACGUUAAGGUCAUUUCCGUCAUUUCACAUUCCCGAUAUAGAAAUCCCGGGACGGGCUGUGAUAAUUUAUUUGAUACAUUUGGAUGACUAAACGAUCUCGAAUUCGAAUGAUUUUUUGUAAUAAUUAAUCUUCAAAUUAAGAUUAAGGAAUUAAAUUCGUUGAUUAUAUUUGGUGAAAAUACGUUAUUCGUCAAUCAAAAGAUACGCUCAUCCCUAAAUGGAAAAUGCUAAGUAUUAUCCUUUCUUUUUUAUGGAUAAUUUAGUGAUAAAGGUGGUUGUGGGACAAAGAUGUGCAGAUUUGUAGUAAUCUAGGUAGACAAAUGGGGGUCGUCUUCCUUCUUCCUGUUGCCUUUUUUUACAUGUGAAAUGGACAAAGUCAUUGUCAAGUCUCUUUAAAAUGGUUAGGGGGUGUUUUGCCUGUCGGGUUGAAAUUCAGGCACAUAUCCUAACCAAGGGAUUCUCUACGUUUGCAUUUACCUUUGGAAAAAUGAUAAAUACACAUCCUUCAAACUUCACACACAUCUUUAUUUAAUAAUGUGUUUCGUGUGAUUUAUUUCAUCCACCAACUAGAAAUAGAGAAGGAUAUGUGCAGAGGUGAAGCUAGAAAGUUAUUUCAUCGGGGCACAAUUAAGUAGUGACGGAUGCAUGACUCUACUCUGUUGUGUCCCUCUCUUUCAUCUUUUUUUUUCCCAAAUAAAAUAAAUUUUUAAAGACGAAAUAGUUACCUAGAAAUUGUUACUAAAGAUAUAAACAACCUAUUCAACAACCAAAACUGGUUUGAAGGUCGUCACCAAAAAGUUUUAACGACCAAAAUCAUUUAUAUUUUCUAUCCUUUUGUAAAUUUUAUUUUCAAAAUUUAAUAACCACAUGUGCAGGGCCAGGAGACAAAUGGAAGGAGGGAGUUAAUGGGUCUUUUAGAGCAACUCCACCCCUAAAAAAUGCACCAGCACUCAGCCCAUUUAAUUCACUCACUUAACAGUGAUAGAUCCAAUGAACAGUAAUUACACCCCUAAAAAAUAUGAUGGCACAAACUAUCUCCACCCCUACAAAAUGUGCUAGCACCCAGCCCAUUUAAAAUAUUAUUAAUUUUUUUAUAAAAUAAUAAAUAAAUAAAAUUAGUUUUAAUUUUGGAUAGGAUUUUUAACCAAUCUUGUCACACCACGUGUCAUUAUC
rnacentral:lncRNA from 1 species